rnacentral:sRNA from 1 species
AAAAUGUUUAAAUUCACUUGAAACUAGGCAUAUGCAAAUUAAAACCACUCAGAUACCAUUUAUCACUUUCCAGACUCCAUGAAAUGUAAGAAUAUGGCAAUGCAUUCUGUUGGGAUGGCUGUGGGAAAAUAGGUACAUUCAUACAUUGCUGAUGGGAAUGCAAAAGUUUAUUAGUUGCAAUAUUGUUCUUAGUUGCAAAGUAUUGGAAGCAACCUAAAUUCCCAUCCACAGGAGAGUGAUUUAAUAAACUAUAGCAUGUCAUGCAGUGGAAUAUUAAAUAGGUAUAAGAAAAGAAUGAGGAAGAGCUCUAUGAACUAAUGGAGUGAUUUCCAAGAUGGACUGUCAAAUGAAAAAAGCAAAGCACAAAAGAGUAUCCACAGCAUGCUACCUUCAUGUAGGAAAGAAAGGAUAUAAGAAAGUAAAUAGUUGUCUGCUCAUUUUUCAAAAGAAAUACAGGAAAGAUAAAAUACUAGUAAGGCUGAUUACCUAGAGGGAAAGGAAUAAAGAAGGAAAUGAGGUUAGCAAGGAUGAAGUACAGUAACAUUUCUUUGAUUAUAUCUUUCUGAAUAGCUCUGACUCUUGGAAUCAUAAUUAUGUCUCACAUACCCUUCACAUAAUCCCAAAUAAAUAAAUGAUAAAACCAACCAAGAUAAAAUGGAAUACAAAUACUAACAAAUGGAAGUAAAUGUAUUAAGAAUGAAUAACAACCACACUUAAGCAAGUGAGGAAGAAAAUAACUAGGUAACUGUAAGUAUCUUUUCUGGGCACUAAAAUGCUAACGACAAAAAGAAUGGUUUAAAGUGCUGUAAUCUAGUUAGUAAAAGGGUUUCUUGCAGGGGUAUGAAUUAGUGCUACUGAAGCUACCUUUACAUGUACAUUAGAAUUGAACAACUAAGUACAUAUAUUGUAGAUAAUAAGAGCCAGGUUUCUCACUGUUGGAGAAAGACUUAUUAAAAGAAAGGAGGCAGGCCAAAAUACACCCUGUAAUGUUGGAUUGGAGUAAGAGGUGUCAGUAUAAAUUAAUGGUUUUUAAUAUAAAUGUAGACAGAUUAAGAAAUAUACAUGUGACUAUAUCUGUGGCAUAGUAUAUACAUUUAUACAUUUCCUAACUCUUAAAGGGCCUAGAAGCAGUGAAACUUCAGAGUAAUGAGCACAUUUAACACCAGAUCUUGUUUUUUAUCUUCUAUUUCUACUUUAAAUUUUUUUAUUUUUAAUUUUUGUGAGUACAUAGUAGGUGUAUAUAUUCAUGGAAUACAUGAGAUAUUUUAAUAUAGGCAUGUAAUGAGAAAUAAUCACAUCAUGGAGGAUAGAUUACCCACCUUUUCAAACAUUUAUCCUUUGUGUUACAAGAAAUCCAGUUACACUCUUCUAGUUAUUUUAAAAUGUACAAUCAAGUUAUUGUUGACUAGAGUCACCCUAUUGUGCUAUCAAAUAGUAGGUCUUAUUCAUUCUUUCUAUUUUUAUGUAUCCAUUAACAAUCCCCACCUCCCCCUCCAGUGCCCAACUACCCUUCCCAGCCUCUGGUAACUAUCCUACUCUCUAUCUCCAUGAGUUCAAUUGUUUUGAUUUUUAGAUCUCAUAAAUAAGUGAGAACAUACAAUGUUUGUCUUUCUAUGUCUGGCUUAUUUCACUUAACAUAAUAACCUCCAGUUCCAUCCAUGUUGUUGCAAAUGACAGGGUGUCAUUCUUUUAAUUACUGAAUAGUACUCCAUUGUGUAAAUACACUACGUUUUAUUUAUCCAUUCAUUUGUUGAUAGACACUUAGGUUGCUUCCAAAUCUUGCCUAUUGUGAACAUUGUGGCAACAAACAUGGAAGUUCAGAUAUCUCUUCAAUAUACUGAUUUCUUUUUUUGGAGGGUACAUACACAGCAGUGGGAUUUCUGGAUAUAUGGCAGCUCUAUUUUUAUUUUUUUCAGGAACCUCCAAACUGUUCUCAAUAAUGGUUGUACUAAUGUACAUUCUCACCAAAAAUGUAGGAGAGUUCCCUUUCUCUACAUCCUAGCCAGCAUUUGUUAUUGCCUGUCUUUUGGAUAAAAACCAUUUUAACUGGGGAGAAAUGAUAUUUCAUUGUAGUUUUGACUUACAUUCUCUGAUGAUCAGUGAUGUUGAACACAUUUUCAAAUGCCUGACUGCUAUUUGUACGUCUUCUUUUGAGAAAUGUGUAUUCAAAUCUUUUGCUCAUUUUUUGAUCAGAUUUUUUUUUUUCAUGUUGAGGUUUUAGAGCUCCUUAUGUAUUCUGGUUUUUAAUCGCUUGUCAGAUGGGUAGUUUGCAAAUAUUUUGUCCCAUUCUGGAGGUUGUCUCUUCACUUUGUUGAUUGUUUCCUUUGCUGUGCAGAAGCUUCUUAACUUGAUGUGAUCCCAUUUGUCCGUUUUUGCUUUGGUUGUCUGUGUUUGUGGGGUACUACUCAAGAAAUUUUUGCUCAGACAAAUGUCCUGGAGAUUUUCAUCAAUGUUUUCUUAUAGUAGUUUCAUAGUUUGAGGUCUUAGAUUUAAUCCUUUGGUCUACUUUGUAUAUGACUUUUGUAUAUGGCAAGAAAUAGGAGUCUAGUUUCAUUCUUGUGCAUGUGGAUAUCCAGUUUCCCAGAACUAUUUACUGAAGAGACUGUCUUUUCCCCAGUAUAUUUUCUUGGCACCUUUGUCAAAACUGAGUUCACUGUAAAUGUGUGGAUUCGUUUCCAGGUUCUCUGUUCUGUUCUAUGGGUCUAUGUGUCUGGUUUUAUGCCAAUGCCAUGCUGUUUUGUUUAUUAUAGCCCUGUGGUAUAAUUUAAAGUCAGGUAAUAUGAUUCCUCCAAUUUUGUUCUUAUUAUAGCCCUGUGGUAUAAUUUAAAGUCAGGUAAUAUGAUUCCUCCAAUUUUGUUCUUUUUGCUUAAGAUAGCUUUGGCUCUUCUUGGUCUUUUGUGGUUCCAUAUAAGUUUUUGGAUAGUUUUUUUUGUCUAUUUCUGUGAUGAAUGUCAUCAGUACUUUGAUAGGGAUUGCAUUGGAUCUAUAGAUUGCUUUAGGUAGUUUGGACAUUUUUAACAAUAUUGAUUCUUUUGCUCCAUGAACGUGGAAUUUUUAUUUUGGUGUUCUCUUCAAUUUCUUUCAUCAGUGUUUUAUAGUUUUUAUUAUAGAGAUCUUUCACUUCUUUGAUUAAUUCCUAGAUAUUUAAUUUUAUUUGUAGCAAUUGUAAAUGGGAUUACUUUUUUCAUUUCUUUUUCAGAUUGUUCACUGUUUGCAUAUAAAAAUGCUACUGAUGUUGAUUUUUGUAUGUUGUUUUUGUAUCCUGGAACUUUACUGAUUUUUAAAAUUAGUUCUAAUGGUUUUUUGGUGGAGUCUUUAAGCUUUUUGACUAUAAGAUCAUAUCAUCUGCAAACAAAAAUAAUUUGACUUCUUCCUGUCCAAUCUGGAUGCCCUUUAUUUCUUUCUCUUUUCUGACUGCUCUAGCUAGAAAUUCCAGUACUAUGCUGAAUAACAGUGGUGAAAGUGGGCAUCCUUAUUGUGUUCCAGAUCUUAGAGGAAAGGCUUUCAGUUAUUCCCCAUUCAGUAUGAUACUAGCUAUGGGACCAUCAUAUAUGGCUUUUUUAAAUGUUGAAGUGUGUUCCUUCUAUCCCAAGUUCUUUGAGGGUUUUUGUCAUGAAAGGAUGUUGAAUUUUAUCGAAUAAUUUUUCAGUAUCAAUUGAAAUGAUCAUAUCAUUUUUAUCUUUCAUUCUGUUGAUAUGAUGUGUCAUGUUAAUCGAUUUGUGUAUGUUGUACCAUCCUUGCAUCCCAGGGAUAAAUCCCACUUAGUCAUGAUGAAUUAUCUUUCUAAUAUAUGUUGGAUUUGGCUUGUUAGUAUUUUGUUGAGUAUUUUUGCAUCAAUAUUCAUCAGAGAUAUUGGCCUGUAGUUUUCAUUUUUCAUGUGUCUUUGUCUGGUUUUGGUAUCAGGGAAACACUGGCCUCAUAGAAUGAGUUUGGAAGUAUUCCUUCCUCCUCAUUUUUUCAGAAUAGUUUGAGUGAGAUUGGAAUUAGUUCUUCUCUCGAUGCUUGAUAGACUUGAGUAGUGAAGCCAUUGGGUCUUGGGCUUUUCUUUACCAGAAGACUUUUUAUUAUGACUUUGAUCUUAUUAUUUUUAUUGGUCUUUUCAGGUUUUGGAUUUCUUCAUAGUUCAAUCUUGGAACAUUAUAUGUGUCUAGGGAUUUGUUCAUGUUCUCAGGUUUUCUAAUUUAUUGGCAUAUAGUUGCUCAUAGUAGCCUCUAAUGAUCCUUUGAAUUUCUGCAGUAUCAGUUGUAAUGCUCCUUUUUCAUUUCUGAUUUUAUUAAUUUGUGUCUCCUUUUUUCUUCUUAGUCUGGCUAAAGGUUUGUAAAUUAUGUUUAACUUUUCAAAAAACCAUUUUGUUUCAUUGAUCUUUUGUAUUUUCUCUAUUUCAAUUUCAUUUAUUUCUGCUCUUUAUUAUUUCUUUUCUUCUACUAAUUUUGGAUGAGGUUUGCUCUUGCUUUUCUAGUUCUUUAAGAUGCAUUGUUAGAUUGUUUAUUUGAAGUUUUCCCCUUUUUGAUGUAGGCACUUAUAGCUAUAAACUUCACUCUUAGUACUGCCUUUGUUGUAUCCUAUAAGUUUUGGUAUGUUGUGUUUCCAUUGUCACUUGUUUCAAGAAAUUUUUCAAUUUCCUUUUUAAUUUCUUCAUCAACCCACUGGUCAUUCAGGAGCAUAUUGUUUAAUUUCCAUGUAUUUGUAUAGUUUUCAAGGUUCUUCUUGUUAUUAAUUUCUAGUUUUAUUCCAUUGUGAUCAGAGAAGAUGCUUGAUAUUAUUUCAAUUUUUUUUGAAUGUUUUAAGACUUGUUUUGUUACCUAAAAUAGUGUAUAUCCUUGAGAUUUAUUCAUGUAUUGAGGAGAAGCAUGUGUAUUCUGCAGCCGAGGGAUGAAAUGUUCUAUAAUUAUCUGUAAGUCCAUUUGGUCAAUAGUGCAGAUUAGGUCUGAUGUUUCUUGGUUGAUUUUCUGUCUGAAAGAUAUGUCCGAUGCUGAAUAUUGGGUGUUACAGUCUCCAGCUAUUAUUGUAUUAGGGUCUAUCCCUCACCUUAGCUCUAAUAAUAUUUGGUUUAUAUAUCUGGGUGCUCCAGGCAUGCAUAUUUAAAAUUGUUAUAUCCUCUUGCUGAAUUGACCUCUUUAUCAUUAUAGAAUGACCUUCCUUGUCUCUUCUGAUAGUUUUUGUCUUGUAAUAUAUUUUGUAUGAUAUAAGUGUAGCUGCUCAUGCUCUUUUUGGGUUUCCAUUGGAAUGGAAUAUCUUUUUCCAUCCCUUUAUUUGUAGUCUAUGUGUGUCUUUAUAGUUGAAUUGUGUUUCUUGUAGGCAACAGAUUAAUGAAUCUUGUUUUUUCAUCCACUCAGCCAUUCUCUUGCUUUUAAUUGGAGAGUUUAGUCCAUUUACAUUCAAUGUUAUUAUUGAUAAGUAAGAGCUUACUCUGGCCAUUUUGUUAUUUGUUUUCUGGUCUUCUCCUCCUUCUUUCUUUCCUCCUGUCUUCCUUUAGUGAAGGUAGUUUUUUCUGGUGAUAUGAUUCAGUUUCUUGCUUUUUAUUUUUUGUGUAUUCAUUGUAUGUUUUUUGUUUGAGAUCACCGUGAAGCUUGCAAAUACCAUCUUUUAAACCAUUAUUUCAAUCCGAUAACUACUUAACACUGUGUGUAUAAACAAACAAAGAAGCAAAAACAAAGCUAAUAAAAAGUAUAUGCCUUAACUCCAUCCUUCAACUUUUUAACUUUUUCUUCUUUCUAUGUAUAUCUUAUUGUACUAUGUCAUGAAAAGUUAUUGUUAUUUGUGA